AACGAACGCUGGCGGCAUGCCUAACACAUGCAAGUCGAACGAGACCUUCGGGUCUAUUGGCGCACGGGUGCGUAACGCGUGGGAACCUGCACUUAGGUUCGGAAUAACUCCCCGAAAGGGGUGAUAAUACCGGAUAAUGUCUUCGGACCAAAGAUUUAUCGCGUUUGGAUGGGCCCGCGUUGGAUUAGCUAGUUGUUAGGGUAAAAGCCUACCAAGGCGACGAUUCAUAGCUGGUCUGAGAGGAUGAUCAGCCACACUGGGACUGAGACACGGCCCAGACUCCUACGGGAGGGAGGAGUGGGGAAUAUUGGACAAUGGGCGGAAGCCUGAUCCAGCAAUGCCGCGUGAGUGAUGAAGGCCUUAGGGUUGUAAAGCGCUUUUACCCGGGAUGAUAAUGACAGUACCGGGAGAAUAAGCUCCGGCUAACUCCGUG
rnacentral:rRNA from 1 species